rnacentral:rRNA from 1 species
GAUGAACGCUGGCGGCGUGCUUAACACAUGCAAGUCGAACGAUGAAGCCCAGCUUGCUGGGUGGAUUAGUGGCGAACGGGUGAGUAACACGUGAGUAACCUGCCCUUAACUCUGGGAUAAGCCUGGGAAACUGGGUCUAAUACCGGAUAGGAGCGUCCACCGCAUGGUGGGUGUUGGAAAGAUUUAUCGGUUUUGGAUGGACUCGCGGCCUAUCCGCUUGUUGGUGAGGUAAUGGCUCACCAAGGCGACGACGGGUAGCCGGCCUGAGAGGGUGAACGGCCACACUGGGACUGAGACACGGCCCAGACUCCUACGGGAGGCAGCAGUGGGGAAUAUUGCACAAUGGGCGCAAGCCUGAUGCAGAGACGCCGCGUGAGGGAUGACGGCCUUCGGGGUGUAAACCUCUUUCAGUAGGGAAGAAGCGAAAGUGACGGUACCUGCAGAAGAAGCACCGGCUAACUACGUG